CCUACGGGAGGCAGCAGUGGGGAAUUUUCCGCAAUGGGCGAAAGCCUGACGGAGCAACGCCGCGUGAGGGAGGAAGGUCCUUGGAUUGUAAACCUCUUUUCUCGAGGAAGAAGUCAGUGACGGUACUCGAGGAAUCAGCCUCGGCUAACUCCGUGCCAGCAGCCGCGGUAAUACGGGGGAGGCAAGCGUUAUCCGGAAUUAUUGGGCGUAAAGCGUCCGCAGGUGGUCUUCCCAGUCCGCUGUCAAAGCGCGCGGCUUAACCGCGUACCGGCGGUAGAAACUGGAAGACUAGAGAGCAGUAGGGGUAGCGGGAAUUCCCAGUGUAGCGGUGAAAUGCGUAGAGAUUGGGAAGAACAUCGGUGGCGAAAGCGCGCUACUGGGCUGUAUCUGACACUCAGGGACGAAAGCUAGGGUAGCGAAAGGGAUUAGAUACCCCUGUAGUC
rnacentral:rRNA from 1 species